rnacentral:rRNA from 1 species
UAAGGAAUAUUGGACAAUGGAGGCAACUCUGAUCCAGCCAUGCCGCGUGAAGGAAUAAGGCCCUAUGGGUUGUAAACUUCUUUUAGACGGGACAAAACCCCUUUACGUGUAAAGGGUUGAUGGUACUGUCAGAAUAGGCAUCGGCUAACUUCGUGCCAGCAGCCGCGGUAAUACGAAGGAUGCAAGCGUUAUCCGGAAUUAUUGGGUUUAAAGGGUGCGUAGGCGGACUAAUAAGUCAGUGGUGAAAGCCUGCAGCUUAACUGCAGAAUUGCCAUUGAUACUGUUAGUCUUGAGUACAGUUGAGGUUGGCGGAAUGUGUCAUGUAGCGGUGAAAUGCUUAGAUAUGACACAGAACACCGAUUGCGAAGGCAGCUUGCUAAGCUGUAACUGACGCUGAGGCACGAAAGCGUGGGGAGCAAACA